rnacentral:rRNA from 1 species
GCAUAUCAAUAAGCGGAGGAAAAGAAACCAACAGGGGAUUGCCUUAGUAACGGCGAGUGAAGCGGCAACAGCUCAAAUUUGAAAUCUGGCCCCAGGCCCGAGUUGUAAUUUGCAGAGGAUGCUUUUGGCGCGGUGCCUUCCGAGUUCCCUGGAACGGGACGCCAUAGAGGGUGAGAGCCCCGUCUGGUUGGAUACCAAGCCUUUGUAAAGCUCCUUCGACGAGUCGAGUAGUUUGGGAAUGCUGCUCUAAAUGGGAGGUAUAUGUCUUCUAAAGCUAAAUACCGGCCAGAGACCGAUAGCGCACAAGUAGAGUGAUCGAAAGAUGAAAAGCACUUUGGAAAGAGAGUUAAACAGCACGUGAAAUUGUUAAAAGGGAAGCGUUUAUGACCAGACUUGGGCCGGUUAAUCAUCCAGCGUUCUCGCUGGUGCACUUUGCCGGUCCAGGCCAGCAUCAGUUCGCUGCGGGGGAUAAAGGCGUCGGGAAUGUGGCUCCUCUGGAGUGUUAUAGCCCUUCGCGCAAUACCCUGCGGUGGACUGAGGUUCGCGCAUCUGCAAGGAUGCUGGCGUAAUGGUCAUCAACGACCCGUCUUGAAACACGGACCAAGGAGUCGUCUUCGUAUGCGAGUGUUCGGGUGUAAAACCCCUACGCGUAAUGAAAGUGAACGCAGGUGAGAGCUUCGGCGCAUCAUCGACCGAUCCUGAUGUUCUCGGAUGGAUUUGAGUAAGAGCAUACGGGGCCGGACCCGAAAGAAGGUGAACUAUGCCUGUAUAGGGUGAAGCCAGAGGAAACUCUGGUGGAGGCUCGCAGCGGUUCUGACGUGCAAAUCGAUCGUCAAAUAUGGGCAUGGGGGCGAAAGACUAAUCGAACCUUCUAGUAGCUGGUUUCCGCCGA